rnacentral:rRNA from 1 species
GCGUGCUUAACACAUGACAAGUCGAACGGACCUAUCGGGUCAGUGGCGGACGGGUGAGUAACGCGUGAGAAUCUGCCCUCAUGGAGGGGGAUAACGGCUGGAAACGGCCGCUAAUACCCCAUAUGCCGCGAGGUGAAAUGAAUUUCGCCUGAGGAUGAGCUCGCGUCUGAUUAGCUAGUUGGUGGGGUAAAGGCCUACCAAGGCGACGAUCAGUAGCUGGUCUGAGUAGGAUGAUCAGCCACAACUGGGACUGAGACACGGCCCAGACUCCUACGGGAGGCUGCAGUGGGGAAUGUUCCGCGC